UUUAGUGUUGAUAUUAUAUUGAAAAGUUACAUGUGGUAGUUUUAGUUUUGAUAUUGAAAAAGUUUAAUGUGAUAGUUAAUGACUUUUUUUUUCUAACUAAUAUUUUUUAGUUUUAUACUUUAUUUGAUCAAAAUAACAACAAUGAAUAAAUAGCUAACAACAUAUUGGAAAGGUGGAACAAUUUUCAAAGGUUGUUAUGUGUAAAAUGCAGUUACGAUUAUGGCAAAUCAAGAUUCUACCAGUGUGAACAUGCCUUUUAAAAAAAUAAGUGUCUUUCUAUUGGUUUUGAGUUUUUCUAUUUUGUUGUAUGUUCCUGUGUGAAAGAAUAGUUGGACUUGGAAACUCUCUACUCUGCGAAUUUAUUUUUUUCUAUAGAAGAAUAUUAGGCUCAAAGAAUAUGCCAUGUUUCGUUAAAGUUUCUCUCUAUCUCAUUAAUGUUGAUAAACUUAAUAAAUUGUAUCCGUGAAGCGGUUCUUGUUUCUGAAUCUGAUAGACUUCUAUGGCAUGUUCAAAUUUGUCUGAUAUAAUCUUGAUAUUGCUAUUUUUCUAUAUUUAAAUUGUGGAGGAGAAGAUAGAAAUUUUGUCUUUUCUUGUUUAGACCUUGCCUAAGUACCUUGGAAUUCUAUUUCUUCAUAAUUGACUUACGAAGGGUAGUUGGUAUAUUUUUAAUGGUAUUAAAAAGAAGAAAAGAAUUGUUUUUUUUUUUCAUUCUUCAAGUAGUUACAGAAGGCAAAUCCUUAAUCUAACUCACCUAAAUUUACACAAUCAUGAUAUUAGUUGAAUGUGCUAUUCAACACUAAUCACAAAUUAUCAUAUAUUCAUUGUUUUUAUUGUUGAUAAAGGAAAAGAUACAUUCUAUUUGAAGAAGCAUUGUUGUACUAUAUGCUCUCCAUGUCCUUGCUAUAUAGUUACAUAUAUAUUUCAUUAUUUUCUUAUCAAGAUCAACAAACACAUGACAAAGGGAAUAAGUGACGACCGUUGAGAUUGUGAUACGCCACCGAGGAACCAAAACAAGAUAUAGCACCUAAGCAGGUCGGAAUUUUUUUUAGCAAUUAAGAUCAACAAACACAUACAAAGAGAAUAAGUUACGACUGUUGAGAUUGUGAUACGCCACCCGAGGAACCAAAACAAGAUAUAGCACCUAAGCAGGUCGGGACAAAUUUUAGCAAUUAAGGUACAAUAUAUCAAUACCAUUCUUUUUUCUCUUUUAUAUUAUGAGGGUAAAUGUGCUGCACAACUUUUCAACUCUAACAAUUAAUAAAUCAUCAUUAACUUACAAUGUUACGACUUUUCAAUAUUAUUUUGGUCUAUCCAAGAUCAGUGUAGAAAUAGAGUGAUUGAAACAGAGUAUAAAAAUAAAGUAGAAAGUGUAUAAAAAGAUUCCAAUUAUUAGGUUAUCUAUGAACUUUGAGAAAGUGAUCUCUAAAAAUUCUAGCAGGAGACUUCUAGUAAAAAUGUCGAAGCAAGAUAUUUUCAUUUCAUUUUGAAGAUAUGGUUCUUGAUUUGAUUGAUAGUUUUUGACAUUGUAGAGCUAUAUAGUAAUGAGUUGAUAGAGGAAUUGUAAAGAUAACUUCAAACUCUUUGGAUGAUUUUAUAUUUAUGGAUAAUACAUUCGUAUAAUUUUAAGUCUAUUUAGUGCUUGAAAGAUCUUAGAUUACUGAUUCUUAUUCAACUUGUAUGAAAUUUAUAGUUAUGAGUAAUACUUUCGUACAACUUUAAUUUUAAUUUUAAAAUAAAUUAAGAUGCAAUUUCUAAAUUAAUAUUUUGAUUAAAUUAAUUACCUAAGUUGCUAAUUUGUCGAUAUUAACUUUUGGGUACAUUUUCUCUUACUAAUUUGUUAGAUUUCCUAUAAAAUAUAAUGUGGCUCUUCAAAGUGUUGACAAAAAUUGAGAUUAGUGAACAAGUCAAAUGAUAGUUAAGCACUUUGUGACAAGUCUCAUGGUGCAGUAACAUAACUUUUUUGUGGGCAUUUGCUUGGCAUGAUUUUUUGAUAAUAGUUAUGCAUGAAGCCUAAAAUUAAUAGAUUAAGCUGAUCUUGUGGUAUUUGUUCUGUUACUUUACUAUGAAUUUGUCUAACUACUCUUUUAUUUACUAUAUUCUAAACAGUUUGCACUAUGUAUCAAUAUAUUAUCGUACAAAGAAGAGCCUUUACCUUUUAAUUUUCUUUAUUUGUCUUUGCUUGAGCCAUAUACCGAUAAUUAGGGAUGUAUAAAAGUAUUUCUAAAUUUUUGGACACCGCCUUAUUAUUUUAAUGAAGUAAUGUGAUAUCCAUUAUGGAGUGUGAGUCAAUUCUUUUGAUGAACAAAAAGAUCAAUAUUUGUAUACUUAAAAUCAUCUAUUAUUACAAAAAUUGCAACAUGUACUGCUUCUAAUUAAUUUUAGCAUUUCAUUACAAAAUUGAUGAUUGCCUAAAAUCUUUUCUUUAAAUGAUCUUAUUCAUGAGGAUGUUCUAAUUGAACAUAUGCUUGACAUCAUCAUUUGAUAGAAGAAUGUUAAGUGUGUGCACCUUAAAGGGCUGAUAAUCACAUAUGCGGGCUGGAGAAAACAUCAAAUGAUGAUUCUUUAAAUUAGCUAAACAAAGACCAAAUCAAAUUGAUUUAAUAUGUAUGUACCUUCUAUUUUAUAAUUCUUUGAUAUUCAUUUUUUGCUUUUCUUGCUUGUAGUUUAUCCCAAGCUGAUUGUUAUAACUCUUGGUCAUAGAAAAUAAUUUCGUACAUUUUUGUGAUAGAUUUGUUUUUUGAUAGAGAAGUAAAACAACGUAUGGAAUUUUCAAUCAUAGAAAGCUCAAUAAGAUCGAGCCUGAGAUGAUUGAUAUUCCAAGAAUGAUCGACGAAGAUGAUUUCAUUUUAGGAGAGGUCAAUUUAUCUAUUUCGCAUAUUUACACGAGAAUUAAAUGUUCUGUCAAUGUUGACGUAUGCAUUUAAUCAAGUAUAGUUUCUAUUUUUCUAUGAAAAUAUUUGAAAAAUUAUCUAGAUAGACAACUUGUUUUGUCAGAACGAUUCGAUCUUAUUGAAGGAAUUUCUAUAAUAUGAUAAACAAUAGAAAUAAGAUGUAAUUAGGUCUUUACAUUAUGAGAUUUAUGUAAAAAUUUUAAAAAUUUAUAUCAAAAUUAAGUAUAUUGGGCCCGUGCUUAGCACGGACCGUACCUAUCUAGUAUUUUCCUUGAGUUUUGAAGGGAAGUCAUUUUUCUUAAAUUUGAGAAAAAUGAGUUGAUUUGGAAUACAUUUAACAUUUUACCUAACCAAACAUGAGAAAAUUGGAAAAAAAAUUCCGAAAAAUAUUUUUCUUCAUACCAAACACACCAUUGAUCUUGUUACUGCUAAAAAGUCAUCCUUCUUGUGAGGUGCGUUCAUUAAAAAAAAGGUACCAUAGUGAUUAGAUGUUAACCGAUACACCUUUCGACGAUUUUUAAUUAUGUUGUCAAUUCAAUCAAUAUUUUAUAGGUUGUCUAGAGGAUUAGUAAAAUUGAUAUCCAAUAGGCUAAACCAUUAAGCCAAUUAUCCGCCUGAUCUGUCCAAUAAACAUCUCUAAUUGUGUAUGUAUAUAUUGUAAUUUUAUUAAUAUGACUAUAACUUUUUUUGAAAUUUGUAACUAAUAACGAUAAAUUUAAAUUGAUAAGAUAAACCACAAGUAAAAGAUGAAGAAACAUAGCUUUAUUGAACAAAAUAAUAUGGAUACAAAAAUGUUUAUUAAAAAAUUUCUCCAUGAUUCAAGGCAUUAGUGGUAUAUUUCUCGAAGAACAAAAAAUGUAGGUAUUAAUUUUAAUAUGCACAUUUAAUUUAAUUUCAUAAAUAAUUAUCAUGCAAAAAAAUUUCAACGUGACUUUUAUAUAUAUAUAUAUAUAUAUAUAUAUAUAUUACCCUUUUUAUAUAAACCAAUAACAAAAGGACUAACAUGGCAUUAACUCAUUGUACCGUAAGCAUUAGGUGUUUGUACGUUUUUACAAGUAUCAUUCUGGCCCUCUUUUAUUGGUCAUUCAACACGUGGUUCUAUAUCAAUUUGCAUGUCUACCGUCCUAUUACCUUCAUUAUCAGACGAAUACAAAGUAAACCAUCACAUUGUUCUCACAUUCUUCAAGCUUCAAAGUUCAAACUGGUAGGUUUUUAAUUUUCUUUUGUUGUUUUAUGCAAUUGUUUCAUCUCUUUUCUCUAAUUUGAUUUUUUUUGUUAUCUCUUUUCUCUAAUUUGAUUUUUUUGUUUUCUUUUACUGAAAUUUCGAGAUUUUACUACUCUGAAUCUCCUGCACAAGCGUCGAAUUGAUUUUACGAAUCUUCUGCACAAGCGUCAAAUUGGAACAACAAAUUAGGAAAGUUGUAUAUGGUGAUGAUAUUGAGUAUUAUGCAGACAAGCUAAAAUUGUUGAAUACAUAUAUAAUCUUUACUGCCAAAGUCAAAGUUUCACUACCUUCGUAUCGGAAGUAUAUUACAUAAAUUCUAUUGGGUGUUUGAUAAAGGAAACUCUGAUCGAACAUAUCAAACCAAAUAACCAUCUUGAGAGACCGUUGUUACCACCGACCAAAUUAGUUACCACAAUAUUUGCCAAUAUUGCUCAACUAACUCCUGCUCCUAAUGCAGAAAUUGAUGUUGUAGGAGUUGUUCUUCAUUGCGGCCCUUUGCAAAAUGCAGGUCUCAUUCAAAAUAGGUGUCACGAGGUUACUAUAUUUGAUGAUCAAAAACACCAAUUUCUGCUAACUUUAUUGGGAAAAUAGAAGGAGUUGAAUUGAAAUCUCAAAUGGGAAAGCGUAAAGAAUUCACUGUAAUCCUUGCAAGGAACAUUGGAAUCUCUGGUUAUGAAGAUUUAUCCUUACAAAGGAGAUUCAACUCCACGAUACGCAUAAAUCCUACUUAUCCGCAUGCAUUAAAAUUGAUCAGUUGGGCAACAACAAACAAAGACGUUCUUGUAGGAAAUGUGUCGGGUAACUUUGCAGGAUCAUCCACUGCUCUAAACAAGAAUCUUAAUCACCAGCGAGUCAUUUCUAUUGCAGAACUUGCAAAAACAGCUUCAGUUAGAGUUUUCCACAUCGAGGCCGAAAUAUCAAUAUCAGCGAGUUAUUUUUUAUUAAUAUCCUUUUGCAAAUGAUUUAAAGGGACAUAAUAUAAAGGAAUAAAAUUUUGUUUCUGAAAACAUUAUAUCUUCUACAAUAACUAAAGAAGCAAAAUAUGUUCACUUUAAAAGAAAUAUAAUAGCAAAUGAAGAAGAUCUACUAUUACAAACAAUGUUGAAUCCUGAUCAGGGCAUUUAAUACAAUACUUGAUAGGGUAUAUUCAAAUAAAUCAGGUGUUUUUUCAUUGAUGGUCCAGGCGGAACUGGAAAAACAUUUUUAUAUAAAGCUUUAAUAGCAAAUGUAAUAUCCAAAGGCUUUAUAGCUUUAGCAAACAACAAGUUCUGGUGUUGCAUCUUCAAUUCUCCCUGGAGUGAAUGCCACAAUUUAGGUGAUGCAAAGAGCUGCAGAUGAGCCUGUUGAUAAAUUGUAUACUUCGUCUAUAAUGACUGAUGCCAUUCUCCAGAUCAGACGUUGAACAUCACAACCCAUAGGCUUUGAAGAAGAUAUCAUACAAUUCAAUAGUUUGUUGACAAAAUCCAACAAACAAGCAAUGAUGCAAUUCGAACUCUGUAUGUUGCAAAUAUUGUCGUUGUCAAUGUUAAUGUAGUGCUUUUGUUAGACUAAUGGAAUGGUGCUUUGUCUCACUUUUGCAAGCUUUGCACUGGCCUCUUCGAUUUUUGAUAAUAAUCUUCUGCUGCUGUAUUUGACAACUCUGAGUUGGAUGCUAAACAACUUUGAUUUCUUCUCCCAUAGCCUUGCAGAUGACACUUGCUCAGCUUUGAAGGACUUUCAACGGAAUCCUCAAAACAAUAUCUUGCAAAUUAUACUUCAAAGUGAAAAAACAAAAACUUCUGACAAAACAUUAGAGCAUAUUGGCCACACGGUUCCUAAUUUCAUUACUCAGGUUCUGUCAAGAGUCAAAUGUUAUAAAGGAAAUUCUUUAGGCAAUUGCGCAGGUGAAGGAAGAUUCAUUCAACAUGCCUGAUAUAAAUAUUCCCUGAUUUACUGAGCCUAAGUGAGCGCUCCAAAGUACCAGUGCAUGCCAUUUAGACGUUCAGAACGAAUACUGUGAUCAUCUAUGUUGUCACUCUCCAUUCUCAUGGUACUUUUACUACUUAAAUUGAUAGUAAAAGCUCACCAAGAAACAUGAAAAAGGUCGACACAUGUUCCAUUACUCCUGAAAAGUCAAAAUAAUACCAAAUAACUUGCCCAAUGGCAGUAAUUAUGCAGGCUUCCUAUUCGCAUAGACUUCUCUGUUUUUCUUGUAUCGUGUGGUAUGUGAAGCCUGCUGCAGCUCCUACACCUGGACAAAUAACUGGCCAAGUCCACCCCCAUCAAUGUAGUAGCACUGUUGCUGGAUGUGGAAGAGGUGAUUAGAGACCACCAGGAAUGAAAGAUGGCUAUGAUUAUCAAACAUCUUCGAAGAUGUAAGACUGAUUCCAUAACAAAUAUUUGCUCAAAGUAUGUCCAGAUUCAACGGACCAGACAACUAAUAGAUUUGAAGUUCCUAUGAAUUAAAAAAACUCAAAAGCAAGGAGAUGACGGAUGAAAUUGAUCUCCAAUAGAGCAGUAUCCAUGAAAAUCAAAGAAACUGCUUACUCAAACCUCUUCUCAAGUUAUAUUAUAGUAAUCAUUCUGUUAUAGCAUUAUGUGCUUUGUAGGUAAUGAAUGGAGUAUGUUGUCAAAUUUAGUAUGUUAUCAAAUUUAGUGUAAAUAUGUAUUAUUCUGAA